UACGAAGGGGACUAGCGUUGUUCGGAAUCACUGGGCGUAAAGCGCACGUAGGCGGAUAUGUCAGUCAGGGGUGAAAUCCCGGGGCUUAACCUCGGAACUGCCUUUGAUACAGCAUAUCUUGAGUCCGAUAGAGGUGGGUGGAAUUCCUAGUGUAGAGGUGAAAUUCGUAGAUAUUAGGAAGAACACCGGUGGCGAAGGCGGCCCACUGGAUCGGUACUGACGCUGAGGUGCGAAAGCGUGGGGAGCAAACAGG
rnacentral:rRNA from 1 species